rnacentral:rRNA from 1 species
GGUUAAGUUAAUAAGGGCGCACGGUGGAUGCCUUGGCACUAGAAGCCGAAGAAGGACGUGACAAACGACGAAAUGCUUUGGGGAGCUGUAAGUAAGCGCUGAUCCAGAGAUGUCCGAAUGGGGGAACCCACUAACUAAUGGUUAGUAUCCAUAACUGUUGAGGUGGUGAGAAGGAGGACGCAGUGA